rnacentral:misc_RNA from 1 species
GAGAAUAGCAGACAUAAAAGUGUUGUUAAAAUUUUAAUGUAAGCAAUUGUGAUAAUGACAACUGGAGUUACAUCAUUACUGUCAGUGACGCAAACGGAGGCACAGAAGCAACUCGCCUUCCAGGAACAUGCACGUCAAGUCAACUGCUGUGAUUGUGGGCUGGUUCCUGGUGACUAUUGUUCAAAGAUGUAUUAACGGAAGAACGUAUUAUUACAGGAUGGAAAGUCUGGACAACAGAGAAGUCACAGAAGUACCAUCCAAAACCUACACAAGCAUAUCUGAUGUUGGCCAGUGUGCACGUCUUUGUCGCCAACAAGACUGCGUGUAUCUCAGACAUGAUGGCGACGUCUGCAGUUUGUAUGACGUUCUCAUCCACGUCGGUUUAUCACCAGCCCCUGGCGCAAUCUACUAUCGCACUUGUCCAACUAGAUUGGGUUUCGUCUUUGCUGAGUCGACGAAUCUUUGCUUCAAACUCAGGAAUGAAACUAAAACUUGGGGCGAUAGCCAGAAUACAUGUUACGGUGAUGGUGGUCGUCUCGUGGUCCUGGACACCGAC